rnacentral:rRNA from 1 species
GACGAACGCUGGCGGCGUGCCCAACACAUGCAAGUCGAGCGGUGAACCGGGCCUCCGCCCGGGGAUCAGCCGCGAACGGGUGCGUAACACGUGGGCCACCUGCCCCUCACUCUGGGAUAACCCCGGGAAACCGGAGCUAAUAACAGAUACUUUAGCGGAGCAACAUGGCACUGCGGGGAAAGGUCCGCCGGUGAGGGAUGGUGCCGCGGCCUAUCAGCUUGGUGGUGGUGUCACGGCCCACCAAGGCGACGACGGGUAGCUGGUCGGAGAGGACGACCAGCCACACUGUGGCUGAGAUACGGCCCAGACUCCUACGGGAGGCAGCAGUGGGGAAUCUUGCGCAAUGGGCGAAAGCCUGACGCAGCGACGCCGCGUGGGGGAUGAAGGCCUUCGGGUUGUAAACCUCUUUUCUCAGGGAGGAGUAAGGACAGUACCUGAGGAAUAAGCCACGGCUAACCACGUGCCAGCAGCCGCGGUAACAC